rnacentral:rRNA from 1 species
UGCCUCACUCUAGCCCGACCAUCAUCAAACUAAUGCAGUGUGAACAAUCAUACUCACCGUCUUAAACCAAACCAUUCUCCCCAAACUCAGUAUAGGCGAUAGAGAAGACCCCCGGCUGGCGCUAUAGAGACCCCGUACCGUAAGGGAAAGAUGAAAUAACAAUGAAAACUACAAGCAACAAACAGCAAAGAUGAGCCCUUGUACCUUUUGCAUCAUGAUUUAGCAAGAACAACCAAGCAAAGUGAACUUAAGUUUGCCCCCCCGAAACCCAAGCGAGCUACUUACAAGCAGCUACCUGUGAGCGAACCCGUCUCUGUAGCAAAAGAGUGGGAUGACUUGUCAGUAGAGGUGAAAAGCCAACCGAGCUGGGUGAUAGCUGGUUGCCCGUGAAACGAAUCUAAGUUCCCUCUCGACUGCUUCCCCAUGGACACGCACCUAACCGCCUGCAUAGACAGCCAAGAGCUAUUCAAAGGGGGUAUAGCCCCUUUGAAGAAGAAUACAACCUGCCACAGCGGAUAACACCCCUACCCCCAACAAUUGUGGGCCUUCAAGCAGCCACCAACAAAGAGUGUGUCAAAGCUCUGUCUAAAAGGAUCCAAAAACAACAUGACUCCCUCCCCACUAACAGGCUAACCUAUACCCAUAGAAGAAUCUAUGCUAAAAUGAGUAACUGGGGUUUCCCCUCUUAGGCGCAAACUUACAUUAUCACAUUAUUAACAGACCCAGAUAGCCAGACCAAGACAAGAACAACUAUCGAACCCACCCUGUUAAUCCAACUCAGGAGCGCCCCCUAGAAAGAUUAACAUCUGUAAAAGGAACUAGGCAAGCCACAGGCCCGACUGUUUACCAAAAACAUAGCCUUUAGCAGAUCAAGUAUUGAAGGUGACGCCUGCCCAGUGACACACGUUUAACGGCCGCGGUAUUCUAACCGUGCAAAGGUAGCGCAAUCAAUUGUCUCAUAAAUCGGGACUUGUAUGAAUGGCUAAACGAGGUCUCAACUGUCUCUUACAGAUGAUCAGUGAAAUUGAUCUUCCCAUGCAAAAGCGAGAAUGUCCCCAUAAGACGAGAAGACCCUGUGGAACUUAAAAAUCACAGCCACUAUCAAACAUAUACCCUCCACACAGGCUCACCCCUAAUGGGAACUACUGGCCUGUAUUUUUCGGUUGGGGCGACCUUGGAGAAAAACAAAUCCUCCAUAAAUAAGACCACACAUCUUAACCAAGAGCUACCCCUCAACGUACAAAAAGUAACCUGACCCAAUAUAUUUGAUCAAUGAACCAAGCUACCCCAGGGAUAACAGCGCAAUCUCCCUCGAGAGCCCGUAUCGACAGGGAGGUUUACGACCUCGAUGUUGGAUCAGGACAUCCUAAUGGUGCAGCCGCUAUUAAGGGUUCGUUUGUUCAACGAUUAACAGUCCUACGUGAUCUGAGUUCAGACCGGAGCAAUCCAGGUCGGUUUCUAUCUAUGAUAGCACCCUUCCUAGUACGAAAGGACCGGAAGGGUGGGGCCCAUACUACAGGCAAGCCCUCCCCCUAAGUAAUGAAUCCAACUAAAUUACCAAGGGAUCCACCAAAUAUCGUCCAAGAAAAGGACA